UUUAAGUCUAACCUGCCCACUGAUAUUUUUAAAUGGCCGCAGUAUUUUGACUGUGCAAAGGUAGCAUAAUCAUUAGUCUUUUAAUUGAAGGCUGGUAUGAAUGGUUGGACGAAAUAUUAACUGUUUCAUUUUAAUUUUUUAUAGAAUUUUAUUUUUUAGUAAAAAAGCUAAAAUUUUAUUAAAAGACGAGAAGACCCUAUAAAUCUUUAUAUACAAUUAUUUAUUGGUUAAAAAGAUUAUUUUAAUCAUUAUUUAAUUAGAUAUUUUAUUGGGGUGAUAUUAAAAUUUAAUAAACUUUUAAAUUUUUAAAUCAUUAAUUUAUGGAUAAGUGAUCCUAUACUAUGGAUUAAUAAAUUAAGUUACUUUAGGGAUAACAGCGUAAUUUUUUUGGAGAGUUCUUAUCAAUAAAAAAGAUUGCGACCUCGAUGUUGGAUUAAGAUAUAAUUUUAGGUGUAGAAGCUUAAAUUUUAAGUCUGUUCGACUUUUAAAUUCUUACAUGAUCUGAGUUCAAACCGGCGUAAGCCAGGUUGGUUUCUAUCUUUAAUUAAUUAAAAUAUUUUAGUACGAAAGGACCAAAUAUUUGAAUUAUAAAAUUUUAAACUAUGAAUAUUAUUAAUUUAU
rnacentral:rRNA from 1 species